rnacentral:rRNA from 1 species
AGGACGAACGCUGGCGGUGUGCUUAACACAUGCAAGUGGAGCGACGAACCAGAGCUUGCUCUGGGGCAGAGCCGCGAACGGGUGAGUAACACGUGGGUAACCUACCCCGAUGACUGGGACAACCCGAGGAAACUCGGGCUAAUACCGGAUAUGUCCGAUGAUCACGAGAUCGUCGAGCAAAGGAAGCUUCGGCCUCCGCAUUGGGACGGGCCCGCGGCCCAUUAGCUAGUUGGUGGGGUAAUGGCCUACCAAGGCUGCGAUGGGUAGC